UAAGCAGUGAUAGUGUGUAUUGGUGUUAUUAUGUGUUUAUUACAUUUUUCUGAAAGUAUUCCUUACUAAAUUAUUUUGAUAAAUGAACAGUUGUGUUUCAUUUUUUUGGUUGAGAAUCACAACAAUUUGUUUCCGACCUACA